rnacentral:rRNA from 1 species
AUUGAACGCUGGCGGCAGGCCUAACACAUGCAAGUCGAGCGGAUGAAGGGAGCUUGCUCCUGGAUUCAGCGGCGGACGGGUGAGUAAUGCCUAGGAAUCUGCCUGGUAGUGGGGGAUAACGUCCGGAAACGGGAGCUAAUACCGCAUACGUCCUGAGGGAGAAAGUGGGGGAUCUUGGGACCUCACGCAAUCAGAUGGGUCUAGGUCGGAUUAGCUAGUUGGUGGGGUAAGGGCCUACCGAGGCGACGAUCCGUAACUGGUCUGAGAGGGUGAUCAGUCACACUGUAACUGAGACACGGCCCAGACUCCUACGGGAGGCAGCAGUGGGGAAUAUUGGACAAUGGGCGAAAGCCUGAUCCAGCCAUGCCGCGUGUGUGAAGAAGGUCUUCUGAUGGUAAAGCACUUUAAGUUUGGAGGAAGGGCAGUAAGUUAAUACCUUGCUGUUUUGACGUUACCAACAGAAUAAGCACCGGCUAACUUCGUG